UGGGGAAUUUUGGACAAUGGGCGAAAGCCUGAUCCAGCAAUGCCGCGUGUGUGAAGAAGGCCUUCGGGUUGUAAAGCACUUUUGUCCGGAAAGAAAUCCUUGGCUCUAAUACAGUCGGGGGAUGACGGUACCGGAAGAAUAAGCACCGGCUAACUACGUGCCAGCAGCCGCGGUAAUACGUAGGGUGCAAGCGUUAAUCGGAAUUACUGGGCGUAAAGCGUGCGCAGGCGGUUUGCUAAGACCGAUGUGAAAUCCCCGGGCUCAACCUGGGAACUGCAUUGGUGACUGGCAGGCUAGAGUAUGGCAGAGGGGGGUAGAAUUCCACGUGUAGCAGUGAAAUGCGUAGAGAUGUGGAGGAAUACCGAUGGCGAAGGCGAGCCCUGGCAAUACUGGACGCUCAUGCACGAAAGCGUGGGGGAGCAAACAGGAUUAGAUACCCUGGUAGUCCACGCCCUAAAACGAUGUCAACUAGUUGUUGGGGAUUCAUUUCCUUAGUAACGUAGCUAACGCGUGAAGUUGACCGCCUGGGGAGUACGGUCGCAAGAUUAAAAACUCAAAUGAAUUGACGGGGUCAUAGCUGUUUCC
rnacentral:rRNA from 1 species